UUACGACCACAUCACGUAGAAACACUGUCUCCUGUACAAUCACCGAAGUUAAGCAAAGUCAUGCCUGGUCAGUACCUAGAUGGGUGCCCGCUUGGGAAUACGAAGUGCUGUAAG